AGCGAACGCUGGCGGCAGGCUUAACACAUGCAAGUCGAACGCCCCGCAAGGGGAGUGGCAGACGGGUGAGUAACACGUGGGAACGUACCCUUUGGUUCGGAAUAACUUGGGGAAACUCAAGCUAAUACCGGAUACGCCCUUAUGGGGAAAGGUUUACUGCCGAAGGAUCGGCCCGCGUCUGAUUAGGUGGUGGGUGGGGUAAGUGCUCACCAAGGCGACGGACAGUAGCUGGUCUGAGCGGAUGAUCAGCCACACUGGGACUGAGACAGGGCCCAGAGUACUACGGGGGGCAGCAGUGGAGAAUAUAGGAAAAUGAGGGCAACCCUGAUCCAGCCAUGCCGCGUGAGUGAGGCAGGGCUUAGGAUUGUAAAGCUCUUUUACCCGGGACGAUAAUGACUGUACCGGGAGAAUAAGCCCCGGCUAACUUCGUGCCAGCCGCCGCCGUAA
rnacentral:rRNA from 1 species